rnacentral:ribozyme from 12 species
GCGCAUAUUCUGGGAUGGGAGCAGUGAUAACGGCAAGAAUAAUAAAGGAGGGGGCAUCCUUGCCUUUGACGUCGAGCGG